rnacentral:rRNA from 1 species
AGAGUUUGAUCAUGGCUCAGGACGAACGCUGGCGGCGUGCUUAACACAUGCAAGUCGAACGGAAAGGCCCUUCGGGGUACUCGAGUGGCGAACGGGUGAGUAACACGUGGGUGAUCUGCCCUGCACUCUGGGAUGAGCCUGGGAAACUGGGUCUAAUACCGGAUAGGACCGCAUGCUUCAUGGUGUGUGGUGCAAAGCUUUUGCGGUGUGGGAUGAGCCCGCGGCCUAUCAGCUUGUUGGUGGGGUAAUGGCCUACCAAGGCGACGACGGGUAGCCGGCCUGAGAGGGUGACCGGCCACACUGGGACUGAGAUACGGCCCAGACUCCUACGGGAGGCAGCAGUGGGGAAUAUUGCACAAUGGGCGCAAGCCUGAUGCAGCGACGCCGCGUGAGGGAUGACGGCCUUCGGGUUGUAAACCUCUUUCAGUAGGGACGAAGCGAAAGUGACGGUACCUACAGAAGAAGGACCGGCCAACUACGUGCCAGCAGCCGCGGUAAUACGUAGGGUCCGAGCGUUGUCCGGAAUUACUGGGCGUAAAGAGCUCGUAGGUGGUUUGUCGCGUUGUUCGUGAAAACUCACAGCUUAACUGUGGGCGUGCGGGCGAUACGGGCAGACUAGAGUACUGCAGGGGAGACUGGAAUUCCUGGUGUAGCGGUGGAAUGCGCAGAUAUCAGGAGGAACACCGGUGGCGAAGGCGGGUCUCUGGGCAGUAACUGACGCUGAGGAGCGAAAGCGUGGGUAGCGAACAGGAUUAGAUACCCCGGUAGUCCAA